rnacentral:rRNA from 1 species
UACGAAGGGGGCUAGCGUUGUUCGGAUUCACUGGGCGUAAAGGGUGCGUAGGUGGUGGGGUAAGUCUCGUGUGAAAGCUCGCAGCUUAACUGCGAAAAGUCACGGGAUACUAUUCCGCUGGAGGCUUGGAGGGGGGACUGGAAUACUUGGUGUAGCAGUGAAAUGCGUAGAUAUCAAGUGGAACACCAGUGGCGAAGGCGAGUCCCUGGACAAGACCUGACACUGAGGCACGAAAGCCAGGGGAGCAAACAGG